rnacentral:rRNA from 1 species
GACGAACGCUGGCGGCAUGCCUAAUACAUGCAAGUCGAGCGAACAGAUGAAGUGCUUGCACUUCUGACGUUAGCGGCGAACGGGUGAGUAACACGUAAGGAAUCUACCUAUAAGCGGGGGAUAACAUUCGGAAACGGGUGCUAAUACCGCAUAAUAUCUUCUUCCGCAUGGAAGAAGAUUGAAAGACGGCUCUGCUGUCACUUAUAGAUGACCUUGCGGUGCAUUAGUUAGUUGGUGGGGUAACGGCCUACCAAGACGAUGAUGCAUAGCCGACCUGAGAGGGGGAUCGGCCACAUUGGGACUUAGACACGGCCAAAACUCCUACGGGAGUCACCAGUAGGGAAUCUUCCGCAAUGGGCGAAAGCCUGACGGAGCAAUGCCGCGUGAGUGAAGAAGGCCUUCGGGUCGUAAAACUCUGUUAUAAGAGAAGAACAAAUUGUAGAGUAACUGCUACAGUCUUGACGGUAUCUUAUCAGAAAGCCACGGCUAACUACGUGCCAGCCGCCGCCGUAA